AUACGUAGGGGGCGAGCGUUGUCCGGACUGAUUGGGCGUAAAGGGCGCGUAGGCGGCCCGGUAAGUCUGGAGUGAAAGUCCUGUUUUUAAGAUGGGAAUUGCUUUGGAUACUGCCGCGCUUGAGUGCAGGAGAGGUUAUCGGAAUUCCAGGUGUAGCGGUGAAAUGCGUAGAGAUCAGGGGGAACACCAGUGGCGAAGGCGGGUAACUGGACUGCAACUGACGCUGAGGCGCGAAAGUGUGGGGAGCAAACAGGAUUAGAUACCCUGGUAGUCCACACUGUAAACGAUGAAUGCUAGGUGUAAGAGGUAUCGACCCCUUUUGUGCCGGAGUCAACACAAUAAGCAUUCCGCCUGGGGAGUACGGCCGCAAGGUUGAAACUCAAAUGAAUUGGCGGGG
rnacentral:rRNA from 1 species